AGCUUUGUGCAGUGGCAGGCUUGUAGCCGAUGAGGUUUAUCUGAGGGCGUGAUUAUUUCUAAUUGAAAACUUCAUUACUUAUUCAGGAUUGCUUACUCUAUUUGAAGGUCAUAUUUCCUUAAAUUCUAAGAGAUUUUUGAAGGAA
rnacentral:snRNA from 1 species